UACAGAGGCCUCGAGCGUUAGGCGGAAUCACUGGGCUUAAAGCGUGUGUAGGUGGAUGCCUAAGUACCUUGUGAAAUCCCACGGCUUAACCGUGGAACUGCUGGGUAUACUGGGUGUCUUGAGCCACUCAGGGGCUACCGGAACAAGCGGUGGAGCGGUGAAAUGCGUAGAUAUCACUUGGAACGCCAAUGGUGAAAACAGGUAGCUGGGGGUGUGCUGACACUGAGACACGAAAGCCAGGGGAGCAAACGGG
rnacentral:rRNA from 1 species